GGCAUCUCCUCGCGUACCCUGCUCUGGUGUCGAUUCUUUGUUCUUUACUUCUUUGGGUGCAUGCUGCCUUUGUGAGCUGUAACACCGCGAAGGUCUGCAGCUUUACUCUGGAAGCCAGUGAGACCGGUGAACCCACCAGAAGGAAGAAAGUCCGAACGCAUCCGAACAUCAGAAGGAACAGACUCUAGACACGCAACCUUUAAGACCUGUAACACUCACGGCGAGGGUCCGCGGCUUUAUUCUUGAAGUUAGUAAGACCAAGAACCUACCAAUACCGGACACACUGGAAUUACAGUAGUGCAGAGGAAUACCAUGCAGGACUGGCAUGGCAGCUCUACAACAUCCUUGGAGAACCAGGCUUCUUUCUUCACCACUCUCCUACGUACAGAGCUUAUAGCCUCAGGAGCUUCAGCCAUCACUUAUGCGUUCCAGGCAGGAAAAAGGGAAGAGCAGAAGGAAUAAUGGCAACGUGACCAGAGGUGUAAGGGGAGCCUAGGACCUACUCUGAAAUACACGUAAUGCAAGCGGAGGCGGCAACUCCCCACAUCUGAGGAGGGGAAGGUCCUCAUAGAAGGGAAACAGAAACAAAGCAAAAGUAGACAGGAACAUGUGUUUAGCUUUAGACACGACAUAAAAUGCAGUUUUGCUGCAGUUCUGGUGAGACCACGUGGCAUAGGAGGAAGACGGCUGAACGUCGCGGGGUUUGCUUGGGAGGAAAUGACCAGGCCCAGAGGGAAAGAAGCGUUCCCUCUUUCACCUUCCAAUGCUUACAUCAAUUUUGGAUUAUCUGUGUAUUUACUCCCCAUUCAUUGACUCUAAUUAAAAGUUGACUGAAAUCUGUUUAGAAUUCUAUGUAGCCAGGCUUUCAGAAAAGCUUUUUAAAAUAAGUGUGGAGUAGAAAUUUGGUAAUGAAGAUCACUACCAUGUUCCUUUGAGAGAAAAGAUGGGAAAGGGACUGGAAGGAGAGGAUGGCUAGACGGAGGGAGGGCUAGCUGUGGUGGCCCCACGCUCCUCAGAAGCCGUGCCCUGAAAAGAGCCACUUCUGAGCAUUCCACUGACAUUCCUUUUCCACGAAGCUUUGGGCACCUCAGGCCCCUGCAGUUGGACAAUGAGGCUCUUCAGACAACUAUAAAGAACUUCCAACUCUUGCUCCCUCACCCCAGGCCUUCUGUAAUCUUGAGACCCUAGAUCUGCUCACGUGGGCUUGGGAAGGCUGGUCAGAUGGCCAAUAGGGUCUGGCCCCACCUGCCUUUCCCUUUCCUCCUUCAGCAGCGUAGCUCCUCACCCUCACGAGGGCACAAUCAGGGCUGAGAGCCUUCAUGAGCCCCCCUUGGUCCUCUGGGGUAUGAGGAGUCAGCAGGGACACAUUCCCCAUCUCCACUAGGACCAUCUGUGCUCAAUUAUAAUCCCUUUGGAAGCAAGCAGAGGGCUGUUUAGCUGCUGCUGGUUCUCUAUGAUUAGCUUGUUCUUGUUUUUUGAACACUGCACAUGGUGCAGCCAGCUGUGAGAAGCAUCCACGAUUCAAAGCUUUUUCUCUCUCAAAAAGAAAAGUGCUAAGCUGGUUGUUUUAACUAUGGGAAAAGAAAAAACCUUUAAAAGUGUUACUUUCUGGGUAAGUUCCUUUCCAUACCUUUUAAUUCCACUCUUUCCAGGAUUGGGACCAUCCUUUGUCUAUAUUUCACAGACCCUAUAUAGGCACUUGCUUGCUGCAAAUGAGCCUAGUUAACAUCAAGAUAGUGUGUAAUUCCAGCUCAUGCAUCCGUAUUUCAGUAGCCUCUCUUCUCGCUUAUUGUGUGUUGAGAGAGACCAGAUCUUCAAGGCAUCCUUUUAAUAAAACCAUUGCAGAGACUCCACUCUGCAAUGCACUAAGGAGCCCGGGCUAACUGCAGAGGCUUACCUUCUUUUCAGGUGCUGAGCCAGGAACAAAGCAACACUACUUUGUUCACACUUGAAAUCCUCAGUGUUCUCUGCAGGCAAGAAGCAGUUGGCUGGGUUUGGCUCUACGCCAGCAUGAAAAUCACUAGGGGUGCUUAAUAAAAUGGUUAUUUCUGGGGCUACAUCAUGGAUUUGAAAUCUAGACUCACAUGUGAGUGGAGAGCCAGAGAAGCUGGAGAUUUGGGAGUCGUGUGAAUAGUAAUAAUGGAAACCACGAGAUAAACUACAAUUCACAGGCAAAAGAAUAUGGCAGUAGAAAAAGAUGUAGGUAAUUGGCCAGGCGUGGCGGCUCAGGCCUGUAACCCCAGCACUUUGGGAGGCUGAGGUGGGCAGAUCACUUGAGGUCAAGAGUUUGAGACCAGCCUGGCCAACAUGGCAAAACCCCAUCUCUACUAAAAAUAUAAAAAAUUAGCUGUGCAUGGUGGCAUGCGCCUGUAGUCCCAGCUACUUGGGAGGCGGAGGCACGAGAAUCGCUUGAACUCGGGAGGCACAGAUUGCAGUAAGCCAAGAUCAUGCCAGUGUACUCCAGCCUGGGCAACAGAGCGAGACUCCAUCUCCAAAAAAAAAAAAGAUCCAGGUAAUUAGUCCCUUCGCCUCACAUUUCUGAAUGAGGUAAAUAAACUCAUUUCUUAUUCUCAUAAUAUACAGGAUCUAUGAUAAACAGCAGCACAAUUACGCCAGUAACCACAGGGCAUGCCUAUAGAUACAAAAAGUUCUUUGUAGCAUGGGUUUGGUCGGCUUUUAUCUAACUAAAUUUUCUGAAAUUUAGAAAACCAUCUAAAUAUGGAAUAAAUGGUUUUACUUACCAUGCUGAAGAAAAAGAAGUAAAAAUGUCUAAAUAUUUAGCAGAAAUAUUACUUCAAAAGUGAUUUUACUUUUUGUCUUUGAUAAGUAAUUUUAAGCGUGCCCAAGGAUAAAAAAAAUCUGUACCAAUCAUGGGUUAUUACAUUGAGGAUAAUGGGAGCCACUGUCUGAGAAAGGAGUUAUCAAUAUGGAAAGAAAAUGAGAAGCAAUCCUGUGUUGUUGGACUAGAAUUGGAGGUACUGGUGUGAAUUCAUGGUUUUCAAUAUAUGGAUAUGAAAGUAAAUUUAGAUAUUAAUGUGAAGCAAAUUUAGACAACGUGUGUACAUAUGUGUGUGCAUACAGGUACACAAUUCCCAAGUUCUGACCACUGAGCCUGGGAUGAGUGGCACCACAAUAGUAAGCACUCCAAUCUAACCUUUUAUAAUAAUUUCCUACUAAAAGCAAGCAGGGCUGGAGUAGAGAAACCUGGAAUGUCUCAUUGUCAAAAAAUACAGCAGUGCCCAAGUAGAUGGGGGACAUGUCAAAAGUACACAGGGGCUAACCUGAAGGUGCUCCCAGCGGCCAUAUUUGAGACCAGUUACGCAUCUAAAGAAAUAAUGAUGUAACAAACCGUAACCCAUUGAAUAAAAGAAGAAACUACGAGUCCAUACUAGGAUGAGUUGAAUAUCUCUUUAUCUGAAAUGCUUGGGACCAGAUGUGUUUAGAAUUUUUUUGGAUUUUGAAAUAUUCACAUUAUCCUUAUUGGUGGGGCAUUCCUAAUCACAAACAAUACCCUUAAUUGUUUACAGGAAAUAUAUACUAAAGUAUUUAAAGGUGAUAGGCCUAUUGGGUUGGCAACUCACUCUCAAAUGGUUCAGGUUCUGUACUUGUAAUUUUUCUGUUUGAGAAUGUUUCAAAAUAAAAAUGUUUUUAAAAGUG